GGUGGGCGGGGCCUGGAGAUGGCGCUCAAAUCUGCAGGCUGUGGGCGGUGCAGGAGGGAUCCGGAAGAGACGAGGCAGGAAGAAACUCCUGGUCCUUUCGCUUUUAAGGAACGUGCCACCUAGACAAGUGUUCCAGCCUCCGGUGAACCAGUCUUCCUAGUGAGAGCACGAGAAGCCCGUUGUCCUUCAUUCCUCAGCUAUGGAUUUCCCUGAAAGUUGAGAACUGACCAUAUUCUCGAUGCCUCCUCCGACCUGUGAUUUCAUGACUCACAUCGCUUCCCCAGAACCUGCUUAACAGACGGGAUUCCUGAGAAUGGAGCAGAGUUUGAAUUCAGAGUCCUGGCUUUGCCAUACCAGCAGUUAUAAUUGUCCUUCUGUUGUUUGAUGACCUCCCUGCCCUGCUUCAAAAGGAAGAGAAAUCAAAGAGUUGACGACCCUGAGCGCAAGGCCUGGGACGUUCUUCCCCAAACUCGCUUUAAUAUCACCUUCUCAAAAGAACUCUUCCCUGAACACCUUGUCUCAAGAUGUUCUCUAGUUUGUCUUCUUGUUCUGUCAUUUAUUUGUCUGUUCAUUGUUUGUGUGUUUUUUGAGGCGGAGUCUAGCUCUGUCGCCUAGGCUGGAGUGCAGUGGCACGAUCUCGGCUCUCUGCAACCUCUGCCUCCUGGGUUCAAAGCGAUUCUUGUACCUCAGCCUCCCAAGUAGCUGGGAUUACAGGCGUGUACCACCAUGCCCGGCUAAUUUUUGUAUUUUCAGUGGAUACGGGGUUUCAUCAUGUUGGCCAAGCUGGGCUCUAACUCCUGACCUCAGGGGAUCUGCAUUUGAGGAUAAACCCUGUCUUGGCUCCUCCCUGACGGGGGUGAGAAGUAGCCCUCCUGGAAUUGCCUCAAAGCCCCCGGUUAUCACCAGUGUUCUCGGUUGCAAAUUACGAAACAUAAAUAAACUCAGACUAACAGAUGCAGCAAAGGAAUUUAUCAGGAAGGAAUGGGGAGCUCCCAGAACUGAUGGGAAGGCUGGAGAACCAGGCUCAGAAAAUGCACUGAAGUGGUGAGCGCAGAGGCUUGAAUGUUGCCAGGACUCUCCUCCCAGUCCUUUAUCUCUUCUCUCUGUAUGCGAGCUUUUCUCCUCAAGGCUAGGCACCUGGCUGCAGCAGCGCUCACCACUCACAACUCUCACCCGUUCCACCGGAGAGAGACUGAGGAUUUCUGCUUCUGGUCUGAAGGACAAAAUUUUAGGGAAAAACUUUGAUUGGUCCAACAUAGGUAAGUCCCCGUCCCUAGACCAAUCAUCUAUGGGUGGAAAACCAGGUGCUGUGACUGGCCCAACUUAAGCCAGGUGCCAUUCUCUAACCAAUACUGUGAAUAAGGAAGUGGGACGUACAGGGAGAUGGCAGCCCCAUCGGAACCAUAUGGUCAGAGAAAGAUGCAUUUCCCAAAAGAUGGAGUUCAUGCUCUGGGGCAGAUUGAAUAAUAGAUUUUCACUACACCUGCCCCAGAGUUACCCCCAACCAAUACAUUACUUACUGCCCAACUCUCAUCAUUCCUUCUCUGCUCAAAACCCUUCAAUGGGCUGGGCGCGGUAACUCACGCCUGUAAUCCCAGUACUUUGGGAGACCGAGGUGGGGGGGAUUACUUGAGGUCAGGAGUUCAAGACCGGCCUGGGCAACAUGGUGAAACCCCAUCUCUACUAAAAAUAUAAAAAUUAACCGGGCGUGGUGGCAGGCACCUGUAAUCCCAGCUACUCAGGAGGCUGAGGUGGGGUAAUCGCUUGAACCUGGGAGGUGGAGGUUGCAGUGAGCCGAGAUCAUGCCACUGCACUCCAGCCUGAGACACAGAGAGAGACUCCGCCUCAAAAACAGAAAAACAAAAAACAACCUUCAAUAGCCUCCCAUUGCCAUGUCAUCAGCAUGGAUCAAAAACUCAAAUGUCAUGCCGGGCACAGUGGCUCAUUCCUUUAAUCCCAGAAUUCUGGGAGGCUGAGGCAGGAGGAUUGCUUGAACCCAGGAGUUUGAGACCAGCUUGGGCAACAUAGUGAGACCCUGUCUCUACAAAAAAAAAAAUUUUAAUUAGCUGGCAUGGUAGCAUGUGCCUGUACUUCCAGCUACUUGGGAGGCUGAGGCCAGAGGAUCACUUGAGCCCAGGAGGCCAAGGCUACAGUGAGACAUGCUCACACCACUGCAUCCAGCCUAGGCAACAGAGUGAGACCCUUCUCAAAACAAAUAACAACAACAGCAAACCCUCAGGUGUCUACAGGGGCUAGAAAGAAGGUUAGGCAUGAGACAAUAGGGAGUGGAGAGCACUGUCAUGAACUGGAGGAUGUGUGUUGCAUACUGUUCCUAGAAUGCAGGUGCUGAGAUGUAGGAUUCUUCAAGAGAGCCCCCAAAUCUGGAUUUUCAUAUAAAAUCUCCCAAUUUCUAAAUGUUGGCUCAACUAUUUUUAAAAACCCUGUGCAAGCCAAAUGAAUUAUGUCUGCAGGCCAAUUACUGUAGGCUGUGGUCUAAAAAUGAGCAAUCUCUGACCUUUAUAGGAUAAAGCCUAUAA
ensembl:lncRNA RALY-AS1 RALY antisense RNA 1